UACGUAGGGUGCGAGCGUUGUCCGGAAUUACUGGGCGUAAAGGGCUCGUAGGCGGCCAACUAAGUCGGAUGUGAAAUCCCCAGGCUUAACCUGGGAACUGCGUCCGAUACUGGCGGGCUUGAAUCCGGGAGAGGGAUGCGGAAUUCCAGGUGUAGCGGUGAAAUGCGUAGAUAUCUGGAGGAACACCGGUGGCGAAGGCGGCAUCCUGGACCGGCAUUGACGCUGAGGCGCGAAAGCUAGGGGAGCAAACGGG
rnacentral:rRNA from 1 species